CUCUCCCUCAAACGCAAACGUAUCUCUCUCUGUCGUUCCCCCCACUCCUCUUCUACCUGUGGCUCUGCUACCCCAAACAAAUUCUAUUCUACAAAAAAUACAGAACCGCCGCAUCCAAAAAAAAAAAAAACACAGAGCCGCGAAACGCCGAGACAGAGAUAGCAAUUUGAUUUUGAGGGUCCUUCACCAUUCUCUUUGAUUUUCGGGUUGUGGCCUACUUCCUCUCAAAAGAGAUGAAGUGGAAUACUCUAAUUUCAUCACAGCAAAGACCCCAGCUUCUUUUCCAAUUUCCUCCUUUAGUAACCCACGGAUUAUUUUCUGCUUUCUGUUAUGCACAGUGAAAGACCAAAUCUAUAUAGUUUAGAAGCUAUCUGUAAAUCCCAGCAAUAGCAAAGUGAAAAGGUAGAGCUAUUUAAGAUAGAAAUUAUGAGAAAAUUUUACUAAUGAUAGAAGAUUUUCUGUUGUGAUUAUUUAAUGCAAAUUGUUGGUAUGGGUUGCAGGGAAAAGAAAGCUAUGAGUAAUGGACAUAGACAUGAGUUAUUAAAACACUAAACAAUUGUAUCUUUUUGGUGGUUUGCUAUUGGUAAUUCUUUUCUUCACAAUCAUGCUAUUGUUUUCUGUUUUUAAUUUUUAAUUUUUAUAAUAACAAACAUUUAUAACUAAAGCAUUGAAAUAUUUUGUGCACACCAUGUGUUUGAGAAAAUGCCUUGCUUACUCUUGCAUUAGUUUGUAGCCACUUUAUGGUUUGUGCAUCUUGGUUUUAAUUGAUACUGGUUAUUGACUACUUUUUGUUAUGUAUCAAUCAUAAGUUAUGAUGAUACAAAAAAUAUUCUGUUUGUACCCAACGAUCGGAAAAAAAUAUGUUUUGCCAAGUCAUUAAAGGAUGAAGAAACUCUUAGAUGUCAGUUCUGCUAAAUAGCCAAUGUACUUAAUCAGUAGAUUUGAUUUCAAUUGCCAGAUUUUCAAUUGAUAUAGAAAUAAUGGAAUGAUGGAUUGUUGUUCUUUUCAAAUUUUUUUUAUAAUGAAAGCCUUAUGGUCAAAGCACAGUUUGUCAACGUUACUUUCAACUUUCAAGCAUUCAAAUUUAGAUAGGUGCUUGGUAGAACUUUGUUUCUAAGGUAUUUAAUUCAAUGCAUUGAAUAGUCUUUUUUCUUAUUUUCUGCCAAAUAAUGCAGUGGCUUGGUAUUCAAACUAAUAUUUUCAAUGCUUCGUUCUUUGCUCUCUUUUUAUUUUGAAAAAUUUUUUCCUGGGCUGAAUGAGUUGUCCUCUAUUAAGGUUACAACUGAGACAUUAUAUAGCACUUACAUCAAUUCAAAUGCCUACGUAAAGCUUUACAUGAAUCAUUCUUCUUUUUUCCUUGCUUUAGCCUCUUUUUCUAUUUGCUAAGAUAGAGUAAAUUUGUGGUUUGUUGACAGUACUUGCUACAUGCAAUGAGAAUUACUAUAGUUCACAAUCGAAUGAGUUUUACCAUAGUUAACAAAUGAGUUUCUUCUGGAACAUCUGACUCCUCCUGCCAACAGUUUGAAGCCAUGUCAUAUCAUGUACAACAAUGAAGAUGACAAUGGGAGAGAUAUUUUCCAAAGAUUAUAUUGAAAUUUUAUUGUUUAAUAGAUUGUGCUGAUUUUUUUUUCGACCCAAUUGUUUUUAUGUAAAUAAUUAUAUUAGAGGGUACUUGUGUCUGUUUUGUAUUCUAUAUUUGAUUGAAUUGUAGUUUAGAUGAAUCUUUGGGUUUGGAACA